rnacentral:rRNA from 1 species
GAGCGGAUCUUCAUUAGCUUGCUUUUGAAGAUCAGCGGCGGACGGGUGAGUAACACGUGGGCAACCUGCCUGUAAGACUGGGAUAACUUCGGGAAACCGGAGCUAAUACCGGAUAAUCCUUUCCCUCACAUGAGGGAAAGCUGAAAGACGGUUUCGGCUGUCACUUACAGAUGGGCCCGCGGCGCAUUAGCUAGUUGGUGAGGUAACGGCUCACCAAGGCAACGAUGCGUAGCCGACCUGAGAGGGUGAUCGGCCACACUGGGACUGAGACACGGCCCAGACUCCUACGGGAGGCAGCAGUAGGGAAUCUUCCGCAAUGGACGAAAGUCUGACGGAGCAACGCCGCGUGAACGAUGAAGGCUUUCGGGUCGUAAAGUUCUGUUGUCAGGGAAGAACAAGUACCGGAGUAACUGCCGGUACCUUGACGGUACCUGACCAGAAAGCCACGGCUAACUACGUGCCAGCAGCCGCGGUAAUACGUAGGUGGCAAGCGUUGUCCGGAAUUAUUGGGCGUAAAGCGCGCGCAGGCGGUUCCUUAAGUCUGAUGUGAAAGCCCCCGGCUCAACCGGGGAGGGUCAUUGGAAACUGGGGAACUUGAGUGCAGAAGAGGAGAGCGGAAUUCCACGUGUAGCGGUGAAAUGCGUAGAGAUGUGGAGGAACACCAGUGGCGAAGGCGGCUCUCUGGUCUGUAACUGACGCUGAGGCGCGAAAGCGUGGGGAGCGAACAGGAUUAGAUACCCUGGUAGUCCACGCCGUAAACGAUGAGUGCUAAGUGUUAGAGGGUUUCCGCCCUUUAGUGCUGCAGCAAACGCAUUAAGCACUCCGCCUGGGGAGUACGGCCGCAAGGCUGAAACUCAAAGGAAUUGACGGGGGCCCGCACAAGCGGUGGAGCAUGUGGUUUAAUUCGAAGCAACGCGAAGAACCUUACCAGGUCUUGACAUCCUCUGACAACCCUAGAGAUAGGGCGUUCCCCUUCGGGGGACAGAGUGACAGGUGGUGCAUGGUUGUCGUCAGCUCGUGUCGUGAGAUGUUGGGUUAAGUCCCGCAACGAGCGCAACCCUUGAUCUUAGUUGCCAGCAUUCAGUUGGGCACUCUAAGGUGACUGCCGGUGACAAACCGGAGGAAGGUGGGGAUGACGUCAAAUCAUCAUGCCCCUUAUGACCUGGGCUACACACGUGCUACAAUGGAUGGAACAAAGGGUCGCGAAGCCGCGAGGUGAAGCCAAUCCCAUAAAUCCAUUCUCAGUUCGGAUUGCAGGCUGCAACUCGCCUGCAUGAAGCCGGAAUCGCUAGUAUCGCGAU